GACAUCAAUGAAAAGAGCAUAGGACGGUGAUCAUGGAAGUCGAAAUCCGCUAAGGAGKGUGUAACAACUCACCURCCGAAGCAACUAGCCCUUAAAAUGGAUGGCGCUUAAGUUGUAUACCUAUACAUUACCGCUAAAGUAGAUGAUUUAUAUUACUUGUAAUAUAAAUUUUGAAACUUUAGUGAGUAGGAAGGUACAAUAGUGUGCAUAGAAGUGUUUGGCGUAAGCCUGCAUGGAGCCGCUAUUGGUACAGAUCUUGGUGGUAGUAGCAAAUAAUCGAAUGAGACCUUGGAGGACUGUGAACAGUGGUUGAUCACGAGUUAGUCGGUCCUCAAGUAAAGAAAAAUCAAAAUAAAUAAACAAAAAUGUGCCUAAUUAUCGAUUUUUAUACACUUGAAUAAUUUUGAACGAAAGGGAAUACGGUUCCAAUUCCGUAACCUGUUGAGUAUCCGUUUGUUAUUAAAUAUGGGCCUCGUGCUCAUCCUGGCAACAGGAACGACCAUAAAGAAGCCGUCGAGAGAUAUCGGAAGAGCGUGGCGUAGUGAAAGAGAG